rnacentral:rRNA from 1 species
GACGAACGCUGGCGGCGUGCCUAAUACAUGCAAGUAGAACGCUGAAGUCUGGUGCUUGCACCGGAUGGAUGAGUUGCGAACGGGUGAGUAACGCGUAGGUAACCUACCUCAUAGCGGGGGAUAACUAUUGGAAACGAUAGCUAAUACCGCAUAAUAGUCAUUAACACAUGUUAGAGACUUGAAAGGGGCAAUUGCUUCACUAUGAGAUGGACCUGCGUUGUAUUAGCUAGUAGGUAGGGUAAAGGCCUACCUAGGCGACGAUACAUAGCCGACCUGAGA